rnacentral:ncRNA from 1 species
CUCUCCGGAGGGCGGAAGGAG